UACGUAGGGCGCAAGCGUUGUCCGGAAUUAUUGGGCGUAAAGAGCUCGUAGGCGGUUUGUCGCGUCUGCUGUGAAAACUCGAGGCUCAACCUCGGGCUUGCAGUGGGUACGGGCAGACUAGAGUGCGGUAGGGGUGACUGGAAUUCCUGGUGUAGCGGUGGAAUGCGCAGAUAUCAGGGGGAACACCGGUGGCGAAGGCGGCACUCUGGGCCGGUACUGACGCUGAGGAGCGAAAGCGUGGGGAGCGAACAGG
rnacentral:rRNA from 1 species